rnacentral:rRNA from 1 species
AGAUAAUAGAUACCCUGGUAGUCCACGCCCUAAACGAUGGAUACUAAGUAGGGGACCCUGCAAGGGGUUCCUUGCCGGAGCGAAAAAGCGUUAAAGUAUCCCGCCUGGGGUAGUAUGGUCGCAAGGCUGAGACUCAAAGGAAUUGACGGGGGUCUCACACAAGCGGUGGAGCAUGUUGCUUAAUUCGAUGCAACGCGAAGAACCCUUACCCGGGCUCGAAGUGUACGGAUUAGUUCUAUGAAACGUAGAAUGACACCUUAAACCGGGUGGAACGUACAAACGGUGUUGCAUGGCUGUCGUCAGCUCGUGUCGUGAGAUGUC